rnacentral:tRNA from 1 species
GCCCGGGUUGGCGGAAUUGGUAGACGCACUAGCUUCAGGUGCUAGCGGGGGCAACUCCGUGGAGGUUCGAGUCCUCUCCCGGGCACCA